rnacentral:lncRNA from 1 species
GCGCUUUCCAAAAAAUUAGGAACAGGGUGUUUAUAAAUUAGCAGCCUGGGUUAGAACAUCAGAAUAUGAAGCUCACAGAAUUCGAUGCACAAUAUUUUGACAUGAAAUGUCAUUGUAGGAUUUUAUUGUAAUAUUUUAUUGCUAUUAUGUGUUAGUCUUGUCUAUAUAUGUACAUGCAGUUUUAAAAAACUCUCUUGUAGGGAAUUAGGUUUUAGAAGUAGAUUUUUGGCUGUGAAAUUCAGAAAGGAGAUUUUUAGGGCUUAAACCUUACUGCCAUACAAUCAGGAUCCAGUGAUCGACAUGUUCCAUUAUUUCUUCAUUGACUUAUAUUCGUUAAAACAUUAUGCAUUUUGACAAGGCAUUUCAAUGCUAUAUAGCUAAAAUAAUUGUUAAUAAGCCUUUCUGCAUUUUUCAGCUGGGAUUAAAUUUAUGUGUUUUUGUAUCGGUACCACAGUGUACAACAACUGACUUGUUAAAUAUAGGCCACGUGUACACUAUACCGAAUAGUUUCUCGUAGCGACGCGAAACUGAGCACCUAUCCGAUACGGAAUGUACAACUUUCAGAAGCUGAACGAAACAACAUCUCUCCGUUGCAAUAAUUCUGAAAAUAGCGUUCCUAAAAGGUACGGCCGAGGUGUUUUUUCACGUCGCUACGGAAACUAUUCGGUGCAUAGUCGAUCGAGAUAUGGUCCGAUAACUCGGAAAAAUUCAAAGCGUCUGAAAUGAACUACGAUUUUAUGUGUUGAGACGAAUAGACCCAUUGCACUGACGUCACAAUUCCAUAGAGUGUCCUCCAGAUGCUCCCUAACAAUAUCUGUUCGGGUACAACAACCGCAUACAGCGCAAUUUUUAAUACAAAAUUAUUAUAAAGUUUUACAAAAUUUGCUUUGUUUACAAAAGUAUAUAUUAUGCAUAGAUUGCUAAUUUGUCCUCCAGAUGCAUCGUCACCGGCGCUGUGACGUCAUGUGCAAUGGGUCUAUUCACCGGGCACAAAUCUCGUGAAAUUUUGCUUAUCAAAAUUUCAACAUUACGAUUGCUUCAUUAUGACAAAAAUACCUUGUCUUUAACGUGCACAAGUUUACAUAUAAACAAGUUUAAACAUGCACAAAAAGAUGUAGAACAAAUCUUUUAACGGAACGAGUUUGCAGAUCAUGUCUUGAUUGUCUAUGGGUAAAUGUAUCAUGUAAUGUCACAGCACCUUGAGAAAAUAAAUAGCUAAAAUGAUAGUGAUAUGUAUAGGAGGGUAUGGGUUAUGUAGCUGAAUUAGAGAAAAAUGGUGUGCAAUAGAUUGUCUACUUGAAAUAAGGUUUCCGAAAACAUAGACAAAUUCUAUUUAGUGGAAUGACCCUUUGAAUAACACUAACAUAGCAUUAUAGUAUACUAUCACGAGUCAGUGAUGGAAAUCUUCCAUUGUCUUUUCGUAGUUUUGGAAAUCCCAUAUCAUCCAGCCACUCGGACUUAUUUCAGCAUUUCUGUAAAGGUGUCAUCGCCAUUCGGCUGGCGGAAACCAUAUUCCAAUUAUACAAUCUAUUGUUCAUCUUUAUUGUAUAAAUGUCUGUUUAGGGGAAUAUUAUAUUGGAAAAUAUUACUAACAUAAUACAGCAUUUUCACUGGCCAAUUCCGGCCAGUUUUUUUUAGCCACUAUAAUCUAUGUUUUGGGUACGCAGUUCUGGCCGAGAGCCAAGCUGUUGGCAAAACGGGUUGCAGCAUUUGAAAAGUUUGCCCUUUGCCCAACCAAUUCACAUUUUCGGCUAACUCGCAUGCCUGGUUACCACAGUUAUGAUGAUGUAUUAGGGACCGGUCAUAAAGUAACUGCUAGGGUGGGCCGGAGGAAAUAAGGAUGGGCCAUGGAAUUAUUUUCAUCAGUUUUGGUGGGGUUUUUUUUGGGUGGUUUCCAUCAAUUUGUUUUUUUGUGCAAAUGAAUGGGCCAUGAAACACAUAUAGUCAUGUUUUCACUCAAUACAUACUACAACGAUAAUAGUUUUGUUUGUGGAAACACCACGUAAAUUUAUUACUGCAGUAAUAAAUUUACGUGGUGUUUCCACAAACAAAACUAUUAUAUAUUUUAUCGCCAUGCAAUCAUACAAAGAACUUACAUACUACAACUACUACACAACAUUCCUAUUAAAAGAAUCAACAUUCAGUAUAACAAAAUAAUAUAUUUAAAGUGAAUUCAAAAUGAAAUGAAAACAUAAUCCUGUUAUUGUUAUUGUUAUUGUUAAUAGUUCAGUAAUGGCAUUAAUAUUUUGUAAGUCACAUCUACAGGCAUUGAUUUUUAAAUAUCACCCUUCCUCAGAUUCUGAUGUAGUGUACAUUGUUUUUCCCACAACUGUUGUUUUUCGCUUUCUUUUGACUUGUUAAUUGUUUUUGCUUCUCCAAUGAAGUUACAAUUUCAUUUACUUGUUCUACAAUUUCAUUUACUUGUUCUACAAUUUCAUUUACUUGUCCUAGUGACUUAGUACAUGGUUUGAUCAAAGUGACUGCUAUACUGCACAUAUUCAUGUAUGGUAGGAUGGGUCGUGAAAUUUUCCCAAUGACCUACGAUGGGCUUUGAAAUUUUUUCUAGGUUCUCAGGAUGGGCCACCGGGGGUUUUUUUGGAAAACCUAUUUUUCCCUCCGGCCCACCCUGGCAGUUACUUUAUGACCGGUCCCUAAGCAUAGAAUGCUCACAUGCCUAGUUACCACUGUUCUGAUAAUGUAAGCAUAGAAUAAGAAUGGAACAAAUGGAACCAAGCAUUUAAAUUAUAUAUGUGAGUGAAUUGAGUUGCAACAGGCAUGUAUACGUGGAUUAGGUCUCUUCAUUUUACCGUUUUGCCAAGAGUUUUGGCGCAAACACUCGGUUUUAAAGUGGCUCUCAUCCGUAAAACAUCAAAGAUGUGAAUUCAGACGCAACAGAAAAAUUUUAUCACUAUUAGUUUCAAAGGCUCGCGCUUCAUUUCUGAUUUUAUAGCAAUAUUUAAAAUAAGUUAUAUGUAAUGUUAACGUAAGAAUUGUCUUCAUUUACUAUGUAAAUUAAAGAAUUUUUUGUGUAAAUUUAUUAUAUAUUUGCAUUUUGCUGGACUUUUGUGGCCCUUUUGUGUGUUUUUGAGUAUGUGGUUUUGAUUCUCGCUACCAUGUCUCUUGGUAAAUUUUGGUUAUUAAAGCGAUGUUAGCCAACUUCAACCGGAAAUGUUCACACUCGGAGGAUCAAAUUCUCUGGGAUCAAGCAAAUACACGCUUCCGGAAAGUACGUCACUUUGGCUAUAGAGCCUCGUUUUCGUGAUUGAGACGUGGA